AACGAACGCUGGCGGCAUGCCUAACACAUGCAAGUCGAACGAGGCCCUUCGGGGUUUAGUGGCGCACGGGUGCGUAACGCGUGGGAAUCUGCCCUUUGGUUCGGAAUAACAGCUGGAAACGGCUGCUAAUACCGGAUGAUGACGAAAGUCCAAAGAUUUAUCGCCAGAGGAUGAGCCCGCGUUGGAUUAGGUAGUUGGUGGGGUAAAGGCCUACCAAGCCGACGAUCCAUAGCUGGUCUGAGAGGAUGAUCAGCCACACUGGGACUGAGACACGGCCCAGACUCCUACGGGAGGCAGCAGUGGGGAAUAUUGGACAAUGGGCGCAGGCCUGAUCCAGCAAUGCCGCGUGAGUGAUGAAGGCCCUAGGGUUGUAAAGCUCUUUUACCCGGGAAGAUAAUGACUGUACCGGGAGAAUAAGCCCCGGCUAACUCCGUG
rnacentral:rRNA from 1 species